rnacentral:misc_RNA from 1 species
UAAAACUAGAAGUUUGUGUAAACUAAGCCAGUACUACUACUUAAUCGUUACAUUGCUCUCUCAGGCUGUAUAUAUAUAACAGCACUCGAAGGAAGAAGCACGACGUGAUUCACAAAAUUACCAAGAUUCAAACUCCAAAGACAAAUCUGGCCUAAACGAACUGGCAAGUAAAUCGCCAUCCUUUGAAGCAACAAAGCGGCAGGUUUAUUGUCAACUGUCAAGUAAUUGAACUGUAUAUCGUGAUCUAGAGAUUAGGGAAUUGAAGGUAAAUUCUGCUUGGGUUUGACAUGAUUGAACGUUUGUUCCAAACAGUUUGAAUCCAUGAUGCUUUUCAACAGUCUUCACCGAAGAGGCGACGAAGACGGGAAGCAAAGAGACCAGUAGGCUCAGCAGCAGCUUCAGCAAGCAAACUUUGCCUAAUAUGAUCCAUUCGCCGAACAAGUCCUUGUUGUUCUUCCUCAAGCGCAGCAUUAUCCUCCAUUA